rnacentral:rRNA from 1 species
AUGGUGGCGGAGCAGGAACGGGCAGUGUACAGCGCCGAAGCUCAGAUCUUGGCGGCCAGGGUAGCGGCGGCCACGGACAGGAGAGACAGCUCACCCCCGACGUCGAAGUUGUCAACUGGGAAGAUGAAUCCCCGGGCACCUGAAUGGAAUAAGAGGCUGAAGAUAGUGCUGCUGCACCGAGCAGAACACCGUGCUCAAACCAUGGGCAAAGCCGCGUGCUGCAAAACAUAUGCAAAUGCGGUUACGGGCCUCAAAUAUCUUCUCAGCAAACUAAAACAUCUCAAGCUGGAUGUGCUCUGCUAG